AUUUACAUCAUGGAGACUAGGAUCAAAUCUGGAUGAUUAUAUCAUUUUAAAAGAUUGAUUCAGUAUUCCAUUAUCUAUUACUACUACUAAAAUUAUUACCAUUAUGGGUCAUUUUUGACUUACAAUUGGGUUAUCAUAGCAUAACCCCAUUGUAAAUCAAGGGCAACCUGUAUUUAGGGAUUUUUUGAGGUUUUAGAAUAGGAAUCUGAUGAUGAUUUCUUUGAAUUCAAAAUGGCAGAUCUCAGUAUGGUCAUCUGAAAUUCAAUAGAUAUUUUCAUUUACUCUGAUUUUUUUUUGUGUUGUCAGCUAGUUAGAGGUUUUGAGGUUAGAGAUUAGAAAUCUGAUGAUAGUUUUUCGAAUUCAAAAUGGUGGAGCCAAUAUGGCAGCCUUAAAUUUAAUGGUUAUUUUAAUGAAGUUCAACUUUUCUUAUUGUUGUCCAGUCAGAUUGAAUAUCUGGAAAUAUUAUGGCUUUUCAUCCAGAGGACUGGAUUCAAGCCCAAGUCCUUGGAAAAUAUUUAGUGGUCAGAUAUCAUGCUAUCAAUUGCCAUUCUGAACAGUUUGCUAUCUUUUGAUGUAUACAGUUUUGGCAUGGCCUCAAUUUGCUCACUUAGUAAUCGAUAGAUUGAAAAAUAGCCAUUUUUGAGGGAAAAAAGAUACAAAAUCAUUCUUCUAUAAAUAUUUGCAUCAAUAGCUUCUCUAUCUCUGUCAUAGACAUGCUUAUAAACUAAUCUUGAAUAAAAAUUCAUUGGACAAAUCUUUAGGUUUUCUGAGAAGUUUAAUUAUAAAAUAAUCAUAUGAGUUUAGUUUGUGAAAUAUAU
rnacentral:lncRNA from 1 species